GACGAACGCUGGCGGCGUGCCUAACACAUGCAAGUCGAACGGAAAGGCCCUGCUUUUGUGGGGUUCUCGAGUGGCGAAGGGGUGAGUAACACGUGAGUAUCCUGCCCUUGACUGUGGGAUAACUUCAGGAGACUGGGGCUAAUACAGGAUAGGAGCUCCUGCUGCAUGGGGGUGUUUGGAAAGUUUCGGCGGUUGGGGAUGGACUCGCGGCUUAUGAGCUGGUUGGUCGAGUAGUGGCUUACCAAGGCUUUGAUGGCUAGCCGGCAUGGGCGCUGUGCCGGGCACAUGGGGCCUACGGGAGGGACCAGACGGCAACGGUAGGCAGUGGUGGGGAAUAUGACACAGUGGGCGGGAGUGUGAGGCAGCGGCGCCGCGUGCGGGAUGACGGCUUACGGGUGGUAAACCGCUGUCGCCUGUGACGAAGCGUGAGUGACGGUAAUGGGUAAAGAAGCACCGGCUAACUACGUG
rnacentral:rRNA from 1 species